rnacentral:rRNA from 1 species
UUCAACGGCCGCGGUAUCCUAACCGUGCGAAGGUAGCGCAAUCAAUUGUCUCAUAAAUUGGGACCUGUAUGAAUGGCUAAACGAGGUCUUUACUGUCUCUUGCAGACAAUCAGUGAAAUUAGUGUCCUCGUGCAAAAACGAGAAUGUGACCAUAAGACGAGAAGACCCUGUGGAACUUUAAAAUAACAACCACCCUCCCACCAGCCUCUCCCCCAAAAGGGCCCACCUAUGUAAAACAUCUGGUUGACAUUUUUCGGUUGGGGCGACCUUGGAGAAAAACAAAUCCUCCAAACCCUAGACCACACCUCUUUACCAAGAACCACCCCUCAAAGUACUAAUAGUAAUUAGACCCAAUACAAUUGACCAAUGGACCAAGCUACCCCAGGGAUAACAGCGCAAUCUCCUCCAAGAGCCCCUAUCGACAAGGAGGUUUACGACCUCGAUGUUGGAUCAGGACACCCUAAUGGUGCAGCCGCUAUUAA